rnacentral:rRNA from 1 species
UACGUAGGCAGCAAACGUUGUUCGGAAUUACUGGGCGUAAAGAGUGUGUAGGCGGUUGGGUAAGUUUGGUGUGAAAUCUCCCGGCUUAACUGGGAGGGUGCGCCGAAAACUGCCUGGCUUGAGUACUGGAGAGGAUAGCGGAAUUCCUGGUGUAGCGGUGAAAUGCGUAGAUAUCAGGAGGAACACCUGCGGUGUAGACGGCUGUCUGGACAGUAACUGACGCUGAGACACGAAAGCGUGGGGAGCAAAC